UUAUUGGAUUAAAUGAGAAAAAGUACUCGUUGCAAUGUUAUACUGUUAGGGCGCAACUGGGUAGUUUUUUUUGUUCCGGUUUUUGUUCUUUUAAAGGUUGACAUCAAUUCGUUCCAUAUUUACACUCUCGGGGUAUAAUAGAACAAUAUAAUUCGCUUUUACUCUUUGUUCGAUUGAAUGAUAAAAAGUACUCGUUACAAAGAUAUACAGUUAGGGCGUAACUGAGUAGUCUACUUUUGUUCCGGUUUAGGUUCUUUUGAAGGUUGACAUCCAUUCGUUCCAUAUUUACACUCUCGCGGUAUAAUAGAACAAUAUAAUUAUAUUUUACUCUUUGUUCGAUUGAAUGAGAAAAAGUACUCUUUGCAAAGUUAUACUGUUAGGGCACAAUUGAGUAGUCUAUUUUUGUUCCGGUUUUGGUUCUUGUGAAGGUUGACAUCGAUUCGUUCCAAAUUUACACUCUCGGGGCAUAAUAGAACAAUAUAAUUAGCUUUCGCUCUUUGUUCGAUUGAAUGAGAAAAAGUACUCGUCGCAAAGCUAUAUUGUUAGGGCGGAACUGAGUAGUCAUUUUUUGUUCCGGUUUUGGUUCUUGUGAAGGUUGACAUCGAUUUGUUCCAUAUUUACACUCUCGCGGUAUAAUAGAAUAAUAUAAUUAGCUUUUACUCUUUGUUCGAUUGAAUGUGAAAAUGUAUUCGUUGCAAAGUUAUACUGUUAGGGCGCAACUGAGUAGUCUAUUUUUGUUCCGGUUUUGGUUCUUGUGAAGGUUGACAUCGAUUCGUUCCAAAUUUACACUCUCAGGACAAAAUAGAACAAUAUAAUUAGAUUUUACUCUUUGUUCGAUUAAAUGAGAAAUAGUACUCGUUGCAAAGUUAUGCUGUUAGAGCGCAUCUGAGUAGUCUAUUUUUGUUACUGUUUUGGUUCUUUUAUAGGUUGACGUCAAUUCGUUCCAUAUUUACACUCUCGGGGUAUAAUAGAACAAUAUAAUUAGCUUUUACCCUUUGUUCGAUUGAAUGAAAAAAAGUACUCGUUGCAAAGUUAUACUGUUAGGGCGCAACUGAGUAGUCUAUUUUUGUUCCGGUUUUCGUUCUUGUGAAUGUUGAUAUCGAUUCGUUCCAAAUUUACACUCUCGGGGCACAAUAGAACAAUAUAAUUAGCUUUAACUCUUUAUUCGAUUAAAUGAGAAAAAGUACUCGUUGCAAAGUUAUACUGUUAGGGCGCAACUGAGUAGUCUUUUUUUGUUCCGGUUUUGGUUCUUUUAAAGUUUGACAUCAAUUCGUUCCAUAUUUACACUCUCGGUGUAUAAUAGAACAAUAUAAUUAGCUUUUACUCUUUGUUCGAUUGAAUGAGAAAAAGUACUCGUCGCAAAGUUAUAUUGUUAGGGCGAAACUGAGUAGUGUUUUUUUGUUCCGGUUUUGAUUCUUGUGAAGGUUGACAUCGAUUCGUUCUAAAUUUACACUCUCUGGACACAAUAGAACAAUAUAAUUAGCUUUUACUCUUUGUUCGAUUAAAUGAGAAAUAGUACUCGUUGCAAAGUUAUACUGUUAGGGCACAACUGAUUAGUCUAUUUUUGUUCCGGUUUUGGUUCUUAUGAAUGUUGACAUCGAUUCGUUCCAAAUUUACACUCUCAGUACGCAACGAUAUACUGUUAGGGCGCAACUGAGUAGUGUAUUUUUGUUCCAGUUUUGGUUCUUGUGAAGGUUGACAUCGAUUCGUUCCAAAUUGACAUUCUCUGGGCAUAAUUAGAACAAUAUAAUUUGCUUUUACUCUUUGUUCGAUUGAAUGAGAAAAAGUACUGGUCGCAAAGUUAUAUUGUUAGGGCGGAACUGAGUAGUCUUUUUUUGUUCCGGUUUUGGUUCUUGUGAAGGUUGACCUCGAUUCGUUCCAAAUUUACACUCUCCGGACACAAUAGAACAAUAUAAUUAGCUUUUACUCUCUGUUCGAUUAAAUGAGAAAUAGUACUCGUUGCAAUAUUAUACUGUUAGGGCGCAUCUGAGUAGUCUCCUUUUGUUCCGGUUUUGGUGUUUUUGAAGGUUGAUAUCCAUUCGUACCAUAUUUACACUCUCGCGGUAUAAUAGAACAAUAUAAUUAGAUUUUACUCUUUGUUCGAUUGAAUAAGAAAAAGUACUCGUUGCAAAGUUAUACUGUUAGGGCGCAACUGAGUAGUCUAUUUUUGUUCCAGUUUUGGUUCUUGUGAAUGUUGACAUCGAUUCGUUCCAAAUUUACACUCUCGGGACACAAUAGAACAAUAUAAUUAGCUUUAACUCUUUAUUGUAUUAAAUGAGAAAAAGUACUCGUUGCAAAGUUAUACUGUUGGGGUGCAACUGAGUAGUCUUUUUUUGUUCCGGUUUUGGUUCUUUUAAAGGUUGACAUCAAUUCGUUCCAUAUUUACACUCUCGGGGUAUAAUAGAACAAUAUAAUUAGCUUUUACUCUUUGUUCGAUUGAAUGAUAAAAAGUACUCGUUACAAAGUUAUACAGUUAGGGCGUAACUGAGUAGUCUACAUUUGUUCCGGUUUAGGUUCUUUUGAAAGUUGACAUCCAUUCGUUCUAUAUUUACACUCUCGCGGUAUAAUAGAAUAUUAUAAUUAGAUUUUACUCUUUGUUCGAUUGAAUAAGAAAAAGUACUCGUUGCAAAGUUAUACUGUUAGGGCACAAUUGAGUAGUCUAUCUUUGUUCCGGUUUUGGUUCUUGUGUAGGUUGACAUCGAUUCGUUCCAAAUUUACACUCUCAGGACACAAUAGAACAAUAUAAUUAGCUUUUCUCUUUAUUGGAUUAAAUGAGAAAAAGUACUCGUUGCAAAGUUAUACUGUUAGGGCGCAACUGAGUAGUCUUUUUUUGUUCCGGUUUUUGUUCUUUUAAAGGUUGACAUCAAUUCGUUCCAUAUUUACACUCUCGGGGUAUAAUAGAACAAUAUAAUUCGCUUUUACUUUUUGUUCGAUUUAAUAAUAAAAAGUACUCGUUACAAAGUUAUACAGUUAGCGCGUAACUGAGUAGUCUACUUUUGUUCCGGUUUAGGUUCUUUCGAAGGUUGACAUCCAUUCGUUCCAUAUUUACACUCUCGAGGUAUAAUAGAACAAUAUAAAUAGGUUUUUCUCUUUUGUUCGAUAGAUUGAGAAAAAGUACUCGUCGCAAAGUUAUACUGUUAGGACGUAACUGAGUAUUCUAAUGUUGUUCCGAUUUUUGUUCUUGUGAUUGACAUCAAUUCGUUCCAUAUUUACACUCUCGGGGUAUAAUAGAACAAUAUAAUUAGCUUUUACUCUUCGUUCGAUUGAAUGAUAAAAAGUACUCGUUGCAAAGUUAUACUGUUAGGGCGCAACUGAGUAGUCUACUUUUGUUCGGUUUAGGUUCUUUUGAAGGUUGACAUCCAUUCGUACCAUAUUUACACUCUCGCGGUAUAAUAGAACAAUAUAAUUAGAUUUUACUCUUUGUUCGAUUGAAUAAAAAAAAGUACUCGUUCCAAAGUUAUAUUGUUUGGGCGCAACUGAGUAGUCUAUUUUUGUUCCGGUUUUGAUUCUUGUGAAGGUUGACAUCGAUUCGUUCCAAAUUUACACUCUCGGGGCACAAUAGAACAUUAUAAUUAGCUUUAACUCUUUAUUGGAUUAAAUGAGAAAAAGUACUCGUUGCAAAGUUAUACUGUUAGGGCUCAACUGAGUAGUCUAUUUUUGUUCCGAUUAUUGUUCUUUUAAUGGUUGACAUCAAUUCGUUCCAUAUUUACACUCUCGGGUUAUAAUAGAACAAUAUAAUUCGCUUUUACUCUUUGUUCGAUUGAAUGAUAAAAAGUACUCGUUACAAAGAUAUACAGUUAGGGUGUAACUGAGUAGUCUACUUUUGUUCCGGUUUAGGUUCUUUUGAAGGUUGACAUCCAUUCGUUCUAUAUUUACACUCUCGGGGUAUAAUAGAACAUUAUAAUUAGAUUUUACUCUUUGUUCGAUUGAAAGAUAAAAAGUACUCGUCGUAAAGUUACAUUGUUAGGGCGGAACUGAGUAGUCAUUUUUUGUUCCUUUUUUGGUUCUUGUGAAGGUUGACCUCGAUUCGUUCCAAAUUUACACUCUCGGGGCACAAUAGAACAAUAUAAUUAGCUUUUACUCUUUGUUCGAUUAAAUGAGAAAAAGUACUCGUUGCAAAGUUUUACUGUUAGGGCGCAACUGAGUAGUCUUUUUUUGUUCCGGUUUUGGUUCUUUUGAAGGUUGACAUCCAUUCGUUCCAUAUUUACACUCUCGCGAUAUAAUAGAACAAUAUAAUUAGCUAUUACUCUUUGUUCGAUUGAAUGAGAAAAAGUACUCGUUGCAAGUUAUCCUGUUAGGGCGCAACUGAGUAGUCUAUUUUUGUUCCAGUUUUGGUUCUUGUGAAGUUUGACAUCGAUUCGUUCCAAAUUUACACUCUCGGGGCAUAAUAGAACAAUAUAAUUUGCUUUUACUCUUUGUUCGAUUGAAUGAGAAAAAGUACUGGUCGCAAAGUUAUAUUGUUAGGGCGGAACUGAGUAGUCUUUUUUUGUUCCGGUUUUGGUUCUUGUGAAGGUUGACCUCGAUUCGUUCCAAAUUUACACUCUCCGGACACAAUAGAACAAUAUAAUUAGCUUUUACUCUCUGUUCGAUUAAAUGAGAAAUAGUACUCGUUGCAAUAUUAUACUGUUAGGGCGCAUCUGAGUAGUCUCCUUUUGUUCCGGUUUUGGUGUUUUUGAAGGUUGAUAUCCAUUCGUACCAUAUUUACACUCUCGCGGUAUAAUAGAACAAUAUAAUUAGAUUUUACUCUUUGUUCGAUUGAAUAAGAAAAAGUACUCGUUGCAAAGUUAUACUGUUAGGGCGCAACUGAGUAGUCUAUUUUUGUUCCAGUUUUGGUUCUUGUGAAUGUUGACAUCGAUUCGUUCCAAAUUUACACUCUCGGGACACAAUAGAACAAUAUAAUUAGCUUUAACUCUUUAUUGUAUUAAAUGAGAAAAAGUACUCGUUGCAAAGUUAUACUGUUGGGGUGCAACUGAGUAGUCUUUUUUUGUUCCGGUUUUGGUUCUUUUAAAGGUUGACAUCAAUUCGUUCCAUAUUUACACUCUCGGGGUAUAAUAGAACAAUAUAAUUAGCUUUUACUCUUUGUUCGAUUGAAUGAUAAAAAGUACUCGUUACAAAGUUAUACAGUUAGGGCGUAACUGAGUAGUCUACAUUUGUUCCGGUUUAGGUUCUUUUGAAAGUUGACAUCCAUUCGUACCAUAUUUACACUCUCGCGGUAUAUUAGAACAAUAUAAUUCGAUUUUACUCUUUGUUCGAUUGAAUAAAAAAAAGUACUCGUUCCAAAGUUAUACUGUUUGGGCGCAACUGAGUAGUCUAUUUUUUUUCCGGUUUUGGUUCUUGUGAAUGUUGACAUCGAUUAGUUCCAAAUUUACACUCUCGGGGCACAAUAGAACAAUAUAAUUAGAUUUAACUCUUUAUUGGAUUAAAUGAGAAAAAGUACUCGUUGCAAAGUUAUACUGUUAGGGCGCAACUGAGUAGUCUUUUUUUGUUCCGGUUUUUGUUCUUUUAAAGGUUGACAUCAAUUCGUUCCAUAUUUACACUCUCGGGGUAUAAUAGAACAAUAUAAUUCGCUUUUACUUUUUGUUCGAUUUAAUAAUAAAAAGUACUCGUUACAAAGUUAUACAGUUAGCGCGUAACUGAGUAGUCUACUUUUGUUCCGGUUUAGGUUCUUUCGAAGGUUGACAUCCAUUCGUUCCAUAUUUACACUCUCGCGGUAUAAUAGAAUAAUAUAAUUAGAUUUUACUCUUUGUUCGAUUGAAUGAGAAAAAGUACUCGUUGCAAAGUUAUAUUGUUAGGGCGGAACUGAGUAGUCUUUUUUUGUUCCGUUUUUUGUUCUUGUGAAGGUUGAUAUCGAUUCGUUCCAAAUUUACACUCUCAGGACACAAUAGAAAAAUAUAAUUAGCUUUUACACUUUGUUCGAUUGAAUGAGAAAAAGUACUCGUUGCAAAGUUAUACUGUUAGGACGCAACUGAGUAGUCUUUUUUGUUCCGGUUAUUGUUCUUUUAAAGGUUGACAUCAAUUCGUUGCAUAUUUACACUCUCGGGGUAUAAUAGAAUAAUAUAAUUAUCUUUUACUCUUUGUUCGAUUGAAUGAUAAAAAGUACUCGUUGCAAGUUAUACUGUUAGGGCGCAACUGAGUAGUCUAUUUUUGUUCCGGUUUUCGUUCUUGUGAAUGUUGAUAUCGAUUCGUUCCAAAUUUACACUCUCGGGGCACAAUAGAACAAUAUAAUUAGCUUUAACUCUUUAUUCGAUUAAAUGAGAAAAAGUACUCGUUGCAAAGUUAUACUGUUAGGGCGCAACUGAGUAGUCUUUUUUUGUUCCGGUUUUGGUUCUUUUAAAGUUUGACAUCAAUUCGUUCCAUAUUUACACUCUCGGUGUAUAAUAGAACAAUAUAAUUAGCUUUUACUGUUUGUUCGAUUGAAUGAUAAAAAUUACUCGUUACAAAGUUAUACAGUUAGGGCGUAACUGAGUAGUCUACUUUUGUUCCGGUUUUGGUGUGUUUGAAGGUUGACAUCCAUUCGUACCAUAUUUACACUCUCGCGGUAUAAUAGAACAAUAUAAUUAGAUUUUACUCUUUGUUCGAUUGAAUAAGAAAAAGUACUCGUUCCAAAGUUAUACUGUUUGGGCGCAACUGAGUAGUCUAUUUUUGUUCCGGUUUUGGUUCUUGUGAAUGUUGAGAUCGAUUCGUUCCAUAUUUACACUCUCUGGGCAUAAUAGAACAAUAUAAUUAGCUUUAACUCUUUAUUGGAUUAAAUGAGAAAAAGUACUCGUUGCAAUGUUAUACUGUUAGGGCGCAACUGAGUAGUCUUUUUUUGUUCCGAUUUUGGUUCUUUUAUAGGUUGACAUCAAUUCGUUCCAUAUUUACACUCGCGGGGUAUAAUUGAACAAUAUAAUUAGCUUUUACUCUUUGUUCGAUUCAAUGAUAAAAAGCACUCGUUACAAAGUUAUACAGUUAGGGCGUAACUGAGUAGUCUACAUUUGUUCCGGUUUAGGUUCUUUUGAAGGUUGACAUCCAUUCGUUCCAUAUUUAUACUCUCGCGGUAUAAUAGAACAAUAUAAUUAGCUUUUACUAUUUGUUCGAUUGAAUGAGAAAAAGUACUCGUCGCUAAGUUAUAUUGUUAGGGCGGAACUGAGUAGUCUUUUUUUGUUCCGUUUUGGUUCUUGUGAAGGUUGACAUCGAUUCGUUCCAAAUUUACACUCUCCAGACACAAUAGAACAAUAUAAUUAUCUUUUACUCUCUGUUCGAUUAAAUGACAAAUAGUACUCGUUGCAAAGUUAUACUGUUAGGGCGCAUCUGAGUAGUCUACUUUUGUUCCGAUUUUGGUGUUUUUGAAGGUUGACAUCCAUUCGUACCAUAUUUACACCCUCGCGGUAUAAUAGAACAAUAUAAUUAGAUUUUACUCUUUGUUCGAUUGAAUGAUAAAAAGUACUCGUUGCAAAGUUAUACUGUUAGGGCACAACUGAGUAGUCUACUUUUGUUCCGGUUUAGGUUCUUUUGAAGGUUGACAUCCAUUCGUUCCAUAUUUAUACUCUCGCGGUAUAAUAGAACAAUAUAAUUAGCUUUUACUAUUUGUUCGAUUGAAUGAGAAAAAGUACUCGUCGCUAAGUUAUAUUGUUAGGGCGGAACUGAGUAGUCUUUUUUUGUUCCGUUUUGGUUCUUGUGAAGGUUGACAUCGAUUCGUUCCAAAUUUACACUCUCCAGACACAAUAGAACAAUAUAAUUAUCUUUUACUCUCUGUUCGAUUAAAUGAGAAAUAGUACUCGUUGCAAAGUUAUACUGUUAGGGCGCAUCUGAGUAGUCUACUUUUGUUCCGGUUUUGGUGUUUUUGAAGGUUGACAUCCAUUCGUACCAUAUUUACACUCUCGCGGUAUAAUAGAACAAUAUAAUUAGAUUUUACUCUUUGUUCGAUUGAAUAAAAAAAAGUACUCGUUCCGAAGUUAUACUGUUUGGGCGCAACUGAGCAGUCUUUUUUGUUCCGGUUUUUGUUCUUUUAAAGGUUGACAUCAAUUCGUUCCAUAUUUACACCUCUGCGCAUAAUAGAACAAUAUAAUUAGCUUUUACUCUUUGUUCGAUUAAAUGAGAAAAAGUACUCGUUACAAAGUUAUACUGUUAGGACGCAACUGAGUAGUCUUUUUUGUUCCGAUUUUUAUUCUUUUAAAGGUUGACAUCAAUUCGUUCCAUAUUUACACUCUCGGGGUAUAAUAGAACAAUAUAAUUACCUUUUACUCUUUGUUCGAUUGAAUGAUAAAAAGUACUCGUUGCAAAGUUAUACUGUUAGGGCACAACUGAGUAGUCUACUUUUGUUCCGGUUUUGGUGUUUUUGAAGGUUGACAUCCAUUCGUACCAUAUUUACACUCUCGCGGUAUAAUAGAACAAUAUAAUUAUAUUUUACUCUUUGUUCGAUUGAAUAAGAAAAAGAACUCGUUCCAAAGUUAUACCGUUUCGGCGCAACUGAGUAGUCUAUUUUUGUUCCGGUUUUGGUUCUUGUGAAUGUUGACAUCGAUUCGUUCCAAAUUUACACUCUCGGGGCACAAUAGAACAUUAUAAUUAGCUUUUACUCUUUGUUCGAUUAAAUGAGAAAAAAUACUCGUUGCAAAGUUAUACUGUUAGGGCGCAACUGAUUAGUCUUUUUUUGUUCCGAUUAUUGUUCUUUUAAAGGUUGACAUCAAUUCGUUCCAUAUUUACACUCUCGGGGUAUAAUAGAACAAUAUAAUUACCUUUUACUCUUUGUUCGAUUGAAUGAUAAAAAGUACUCGUUACAAAGUUAUACUGUUAGAGCGCAACUGAGUAGUCUACUUUUGUUCCGGUUUAGGUUCUUCUGAAGGUUGACAUCCAUUCGUUCCAUAUUUACACUCUCGCGGUAUAAUAGAACAAGAUAAUUAGCUUUUACUCUUUGUUCGAUUGAAAGAGAAAAAGUACUCGUUGCAAAGUUAUACUGUUAUGGCACAACUGUGUAGUCUAUUUUUGUUCCAGUUUUGGUUCUUGUGUAGGUUGACAUCGAUUCGUUCCAAAUUUACACUGUCGAGGCGUAAUAGAACAAUAUAAUUAGCUUUUACUCUUUGUUCGAUUGAACGAGAAAAAGAACUCGUCGCAAUGAUAUACUGUUAGGGCGCAACUGAGUAGUCUACUUUUGUUCCGGUAUUGGUUCUUGUGUAGGUUGACAUCGAUUCGUUCUAAAUUUACACUCUCGUGGCAUAAUCUAACAAUAUAAUUAGCUUUUUACUCUUUGUUCGAUUGAAUGAGAAAAAGUACUCGUCACAAAGUUAUAUUGUUAGGGCGGAACUGAGUAGUCAUUUUUUGUUCCGGUUUUGGUUCUUGUGAAGGUUGACAUCGAUUCGUUCCAAAUUUACACUCUUAGGGCACAAUAGAACAAUAUAAUUAGCUUUUACUCUUUGUUCGAUUAAAUGAGAAAAAGUACUCGUUGCAAAGUUAUACAGUUAGGGCGUAACUGAGUAGUCUACAUUUGUUCCGGUUUAGGUUCUUUCGAAGGUUGACAUCCAUUCGUUCCAUAUUACACUCUCGCGGUAUAAUAAAACAAUAUAAUUAGAUUUUACUCUUUGUUCGAUUGAAUGAGAAAAAUUACUCGUUCCAAAUUUAUGCUGUUUGGCCGCAAUUGAGUAGCUUAAUGUUGUUCCGGUUUUCGUUCUUGUGAAGGUUGACACCAAUUCGUUCCAUAUUUACACUCUCGGGGUAUAAUAGAAAAAUAUAUUUUCACUCUCGGGGUAUAAUAGAAUAAUAUAAUUAGCUUUUACUAUUUAUUCUAUUAAAUGAGAAAAAGAACUCGUUGCAAAGUUAUACUGUUAUGGCGCAACUGAGUAGUCUUUUUUUGUUCCGAUUUUGGUUCUUUUAAAGGUUGACAUUCGAUUCGUACCAAAUUUACACUCUCAGGACACAAUAGUACAAUAUAAUUAGUUUUUACUCUUUGUUCGAUUGAAUGAGAAAAAGUACUCGUCGCAAUGAUAUACUGUUAGGGCGUAACUGAGUAGUCUAUUUUUGUUCCGGUUUUGGUUCUUGUGAAGUUUGACAUCGAUUCGUUCCAAAUUUACACUCUCGGGGCAUAAUAGAACAAUAUAAUUAGUUUUUACUCUUUGUUCGACUGAAUGAGAAAAAGAACUCGUUGCAAAGUUAUACUGUUAGGGCGCAACAGAGUAGUCUACUUUUAUUCCGGUUUUGGUUCUUGUGUAGGUUGACAUCGAUUCGUUCUAAAUUUACACUCUCAGGG
rnacentral:lncRNA from 1 species